UACGGAGGGUGCAAGCAUUAAUCGGAUUUAUUGGGCGUAAAGGGCGCGUAGGCGGGAGGGCAAGUCAGAUGUGAAAUUCCGAGGCUCAACCUCGGAGCUGCAUUUGAAACUAUCCACCUAGAGGAAUGGCGGAGAAAACGGAAUUCCACGUGUAGCGGUGAAAUGCGUAGAUAUGUGGAGGAACACCUGUGGCGAAAGCGGUUUUCUAGCUUAUACCUGACGCUGAGGCGCGAGAGCAAGGGGAGCAAACAGG
rnacentral:rRNA from 1 species